CAAGUCGAGCGGAUGAAGGGAGCUUGCUCCUGGAUUCAGCGGCGGACGGGUGAGUAAUGCCUAGGAAUCUGCCUGGUAGUGGGGGAUAACGUCCGGAAACGGGCGCUAAUACCGCAUACGUCCUGAGGGAGAAAGUGGGGGAUCUUCGGACCUCACGCUAUCAGAUGAGCCUAGGUCGGAUUAGCUAGUUGGUGGGGUAAAGGCCUACCAAGGCGACGAUCCGUAACUGGUCUGAGAGGAUGAUCAGUCACACUGGAACUGAGACACGGUCCAGACUCCUACGGGAGGCAGCAGUGGGGAAUAUUGGACAAUGGGCGAAAGCCUGAUCCAGCCAUGCCGCGUGUGUGAAGAAGGUCUUCGGAUUGUAAAGCACUUUAAGUUGGGAGGAAGGGCAGUAAGUUAAUACCUUGCUGUUUUGACGUUACCAACAGAAUAAGCACCGGCUAACUUCGUGCCAGCAGC
rnacentral:rRNA from 1 species